UGAAGACGAGGAGCCAUAGCACUGGGCACUGAACUGCAGUGAGUGACAUGCUUUUAGUGGGCUUAGAAACCCCACGCUACUGAUUCA
rnacentral:snoRNA from 1 species